rnacentral:SRP_RNA from 2 species
GCCAGGCAUGGUGGUGCAUGCCUGUAAUCCCAGCUACUCGGGAGGCUGAGGCAGGAGAAUCACUUGAAUCUGGGAGACGGAGGUUGCAGUGAGCCAAGAUUGUGCCACUGCAGUCCAGCCUAGGUGACAGAGUGAGACUAUGUCUCAA